GUAAUACACUUUCUUGGGUAAUCUACACUCGCUCAUUUUGAGCAAUGUUAGCCAAUAACGUAAAAGCUGUAAAAACAUUAUUUUAUGGUUAAGGUGUCAC